rnacentral:rRNA from 1 species
GAUGAACGCUGGCGGCGUGCCUAAUACAUGCAAGUCGAGCGAAUGGAUUAAGAGCUUGCUCUUAUGAAGUUAGCGGCGGACGGGUGAGUAACACGUGGGUAACCUGCCCAUAAGACUGGGAUAACUCCGGGAAACCGGGGCUAAUACCGGAUAACAUUUUGAACCGCAUGGUUCGAAAUUGAAAGGCGGCUUCGGCUGUCACUUAUGGAUGGACCCGCGUCGCAUUAGCUAGUUGGUGAGGUAACGGCUCACCAAGGCAACGAUGCGUAGCCGACCUGAGAGGGUGAGCGGCCACACGGGGACUGAGACACGGCCCAGACUCCUACGGGAGGCAACAGUAGGGAAUCUUCCGCAAUGGACGAAAGUCUGACGGAGCAACGCCGCGUGAGUGAUGAAGGCUUUCGGGUCGUAAAACUCUGUUGUUAGAGAAGAACAAGUGCUAGUUGAAUAAGCUGGCACCUUGACGGUACCUAACCAGAAAGCCACGGCUAACUACGUGCCAGCCGCCGCGGUAA